AAUGCAAAAGCAGAUGCCUCUGGCCAGCUUAUGUUUCUGGCUCUCACGAUUAGGUGAUUAGUCAGCUAGUGAAGCACAAAUUGGCUGUCAUAUGUGGUUUCCCCCUCUAUGGACACACCAUUGAAAGGAAAUCGAGUUGAAGGGGGUCCUAGUUGGGUUUUCAUCUAUAGGACAACAAAUGCACGAAUUUCUUGAUUGAAAGAGAGCAUAGAAACAACAUAAAUAGAAUACAUUAUUGGCAGAAUAAGCUAGCCAACCUUGCCAGGAUAUCCCAUUAUCAGUUCUUAAUCAAUCCCCAAGUUUCAUCCUCAAGAACAUUAACCGAAAUCGUCUACUGUUAGAGGAUGAUGUCAGGCACCACUUACCUUUCAGAUGGGACUUCCAGAUCAUCAAAUAUCCAGGGACGAUCAUCAAAGUAACCAUACAGCAAACAGUUGAACGUUUACAUACAGAAGUUAUGCAAAAAGAGCAAUUCCAUGUAAGUAUCUGUCAUCAUCAACUAUCAGUAGGUUUGAAUCUCAACACGGCAACACCCUCCACUUUCCUCUAUUUCACUAUCCAAGGCCAGAGUCAAAAUCAGUCGAAAGAAAUUGACACUGCAGACCUCAUGGCAUUUCAUCUCAGUCAAGAAGCCUCGAUUUUGAGAUUUAGUGGAGGAGACCAUCUCCAUGAGCUACCUAUUAAUGUAAUCUGGCAAGGCAGAAUCUGAUUGUUAUGUUUCUCUCAUUCUAUUUAUGUAUCAAACCAAGACCAAACCCACAAUUCCAUUGCUUUUUCCAACCUUUCUUCUGCCUUGACCACACAGACAUAGACUACGAAACAUAAAGUGAAGCAGAAAAGGUUACUUGAUCAAUGCAAUCCCUUUAUCUUUUACAUGAGCUACUA